UUUAGUAUGGCAGAUUAGUGCAAUAAAUUUAAGAUUUAUAUAUAUAAUAAUUUAAAUUAUUACUAAAA
rnacentral:tRNA from 1 species